AAGAGAAAGAGAAUAGGAAAGGAAGAACAAUGAAAGAAGAGCCAAGAGAGAGAAAAGUCAAUCUUAACAAAAUUAUCAUCACCAAGUAUAGACGUAGUGGAACAAAGAAUGCUUCAUGGGAAUUUUAAGAGUUCUUGGUGCAAAGGUAAGGGCAUCAUUCCAUGCGCUUCCGUAUGUGUAUGUGUGAAUAUUUGUGUUGUGAUGGUUACCAUAGUGUUGUUGUUUUGAAGUGAAUGCUAUGUGCUAUAUAUUGGUGAUGUGAUAAUUACCUUGGUGUUGUUGUUUUGGCAUGAAUAUUAUGUUAUUAUUUAUGUGGUGUUGUUUUAAUGUAAAUACUAUUUGUUUAUGGGUGAAUAAACUUAAGUAACUAAAAUGGUGAUUCAAAACUAUAUCCAAAGGUGGGAUAUUAGACUUUUGAUUUUUGGAGAUUACCCAACGGUGGGGUAUUUACGGAGACAUUCAUGCAUUAGAUGACUCAGACAAAUGCCCAAUGGUGGGGUACUGACCAUCGAGUUUUAGGAGUUACUACCCAACGGUGGGGUAGUGGCGAUUCAUAUGCAUUAGGUGAUUCAGAAUAAUGCCCAAUGGUGGG